UGGACUACUGGGGUUUCUAAUCCUGUUUGCUCCCCACGCUUUCGCACCUGAGCGUCAGUCUUCGUCCAGGGGGCCGCCUUCGCCACCGGUAUUCCUCCAGAUCUCUACGCAUUUCACCGCUACACCUGGAAUUCUACCCCCCUCUACGAGACUCAAGCUUGCCAGUAUCAGAUGCAGUUCCCAGGUUGAGCCCGGGGAUUUCACAUCUGACUUAACAAACCGCCUGCGUGCGCUUUACGCCCAGUAAUUCCGAUUAACGCUUGCACCCUCCGUAUUACCGCGGCUGCUGGCACGGAGUUAGCCGGUGCUUCUUCUGCGGGUAACGUCAAUGAGCAAAGGUAUUAACUUUACUCCCUUCCUCCCCGCUGAAAGUACUUUACAACCCGAAGGCCUUCUUCAU
rnacentral:misc_RNA from 1 species